GAGGAUGAAGUCGCAGCCCAAAUCAGUCUGAGAGGUGCUUAACAUAAUUGGCUGAAUAUUCGACCUGAAGGGCAAUCCUAAUACAGAGUCAAGAGGAACUCUCCAUCUAGAAUGACUUCAAUUAAGGUGGCGCUAUAGCUCAAUUGAGUGGAUAUGCGAUGAGUUGAUGGAGUUGAUUGAUAGCCCCUUGAGACCAACAUCAGAAAAUCAAUGGUCAGCAUCAUCCUUGAGGGGCUACUUUCCCACCAAGGUAUUCCAAGGGUGGACCGACAUCGUAUUAAACCAUAUGGAUUAAGAAUGGAUCACCGAAGUUCAUAUGUGCCUCAAGGCAGCAUCACUGUUCAGAUAUCAGAGGUUGUUUCAUCAUCCCUAUCCUCAACCACAGCCUGAAAAGACAGACAAAAGGUAUGUCACUGAGACUUUGACAUUUGGAUGAGAGCUCAUCAACAGGGUACAGAGAUAUAAUCACAUUGAAAUGCACACAGCUAUUGAGAACAAUGUGAUGUGGAAGCCCUCUCCAAAAUCGGCCAUUAUUAUCCAUGUUGCAUAGUGAUUAAAAAGAAAGGAGAGAGAACAGAACAGCAAUCAUGUUUUCAGGGUAAUAAUAAGUGGGCCACGCUGUGGCAGUAACUAGUGAAUAUGGGCCUCAUUAGUACCCUCUAUCUGAAUCACCUAGCUUAAUUAUGUCCCUUUAUCUGCACAGAGUACAUUACAGAAUAAUUAUAAAUAAAUGCUAAACCUUAUGUCACAGUUCAACUAAGUGGCCAUUAUUGGCUAAUUAAUCAUUGUGUUUGACUGAAAAUGUCAGCAAGGGCUCUUUGUAUAAAGGGUUCAUACUGAUGGAAAUGUUUCGCCAACACAUAUUUCAAAGGACAUUGUCACAAAAAGAUUAGAGGAUUAGAAAAAAGGCUGCACACAUGUUGUGCACUGCAAAUGGAGAAGAUAGAUUUGUAUGUUGACACUUCUGGUGACAAGAAACCCAAUCUCCUGUUGAGCUGUCAAAUCCUCUAUUAAAAAAUCCUACGGAUUAGGAGGCAUCCUCUUAGAAUUCCUUCUUCCAAUUAUCCUCUUCAAAAUUGGUCAUAACAUUUUCUACAAAAAGUGAUCUUAUGACAUUUUUGGCUGGCCCUUUU